GGAACGUACCUUUUGGUUCGGAACAACUGAGGGAAACUUCAGCUAAUACCGGAUAAGCCCUUACGGGGAAAGAUUUAUCGCCGAAAGAUCGGCCCGCGUCUGAUUAGCUAGUUGGUGAGGUAAUGGCUCACCAAGGCGACGAUCAGUAGCUGGUCUGAGAGGAUGAUCAGCCACACUGGGACUGAGACACGGCCCAGACUCCUACGGGAGGCAGCAGUGGGGAAUAUUGGACAAUGGGCGAAAGCCUGAUCCAGCCAUGCCGCGUGUGUGAAGAAGGUCUUCGGAUUGUAAAGCACUUUAAGUUGGGAGGAAGGGCAUUAACCUAAUACGUUAGUGUUUUGACGUUACCGACAGAAUAAGCACCGGCUAACUCUGUGCCAGCAGCCGCGGUAAUACAGAGGGUGCAAGCGUUAAUCGGAAUUACUGGGCGUAAAGCGCGCGUAGGUGGUUUGUUAAGUUGGAUGUGAAAGCCCCGGGCUCAACCUGGGAACUGCAUCCAAAACUGGCAAGCUAGAGUACGGUAGAGGGUGGUGGAAUUUCCUGUGUAGCGGUGAAAUGCGUAGAUAUAGGAAGGAACACCAGUGGCGAAGGCGACCACCUGGACUGAUACUGACACUGAUGUGCGAAAGC
rnacentral:rRNA from 1 species